UACGUAGGGUGCAGGCGUUAAUCGGAAUUACUGGGCGUAAAGGGCGCGUAGGCGGCCUACUAAGUCGGACGUGAAAUCCCUCGGCUCAACCGAGGAACUGCGUCCGAUACUGGUGGGCUUGAAUCCGGGAGAGGGAUGUGGAAUUCCAGGUGUAGCGGUGAAAUGCGUAGAUAUUGGGAGGAACACCAGUGGCGAAGGCGGCUCACUGGACCGGUACUGACGCUGAUGCGCGAAAGCGUGGGGAGCAAACAGG
rnacentral:rRNA from 1 species